rnacentral:rRNA from 1 species
UACGUAGGGGGCAAGCGUUGUCCGGAUUUAUUGGGCGUAAAGAGCGUGUAGGCGGUUUGGUAGGUCCGCUGUGAAAACUCGAGGCUCAACCUCGAGACGCCGGUGGAAACCAUCAGACUAGAGUCCGGAAGAGGAGAGUGGAAUUCCUGGUGUAGCGGUGAAAUGCGCAGAUAUCGGGAGGAACACCUGUGGCGAAAGCGGCUCACUGGACCAUUACUGACGCUGAUGCACGAAAGCUAGGGGAGCAAACAGG